AAUGAAUAUUUUAAAAUUAAUUUUUUACCCCAAUGUGAUCCCUAAAAUAAAGGAUCGCAUAAGUGAUUCCAAUAUGAACAAUAAUAUAAAAAGAGCUUUGGGUAAAACAUAAAAAAAAAAAAAAAAAAUAAUAAAAUAAAAUCAUGUUAAAAGGUAUUACAAACAGUAAAAAGUGGCACAUAAGCAUUUCUCUCUCUCUCUCUCUCUCUCUCUAUAUAUAUAUAUAUAUAUAUGUAUAUAUAUGUAUAUGUACAUAGAUACAUGAAUAAAUGUUUACAUUUACAGUUUCCGAUACAGGUCUUUUAUCUAUUCACUUUUGGGCUCCAACAUUUAAAUGGUCUAUAAGCAUUGCAAAUAUUGUUGAUAUUAAUAGAAGCCCUGACUUGUUAUCCUUUCCACAGCAACUUGCUAUAUUCCUCACUGGAGUGUUAUUUGCUCGCUUCGCUUAUAAAAUCAAACCAAGGAAUAUGAAUCUGCUAACAAUUAACCUAUUUAUGAGUAUGACAGCGAUGUAUCAAAUCGGACGUAUUGCUAUUUAUAAAUAUGACCAAACUGAAAAAAGUAAAGAUGAAAAUAAUAGCACGCCAGUAACAACUGAGAAAUUAAGUUUGCUUAGAAAAUAAAAAAACUGAAAAAUAAAAAAAAUUAAUAUAUUUAUUUGCA
rnacentral:lncRNA from 1 species